rnacentral:rRNA from 1 species
UACGGAGGGUGCGAGCGUUGUCCGGAAUCAUUGGGCGUAAAGGGUGCGUAGGCGGUGCGGUAAGUCUGUUGUGAAAUCUCCGGGCUCAACUCGGAGUCUGCAUCAGAAACUGCCGUGCUGGAGUGUGGGAGAGGUGAGCGGAAUUCCCGGUGUAGCGGUGAAAUGCGUAGAGAUCGGGAGGAACACCUGCGGCGAAAGCGGCUCACUGGACCAUAACUGACGCUGAUGCACGAAAGCUAGGGGAGCAAACAGG